rnacentral:rRNA from 1 species
UAGUCCUAGCCGUAAACGAUGGGCACUAAGCAAGGGGCCUCCCAAGGGUUCCUUGCCGUGGCUAAUGUGUUAAGUGCCCCGCCUGGGGAGUAUGGUCGCAAGGCUAAAACUCAAAGGAAUUGACGGGGGCUCACACAAGCGGUGGAGCAUGUUGUUUAAUUCGAUGCAACGCGAAGAACCUUACCUGGGCUUGACAUCUACGUAGUACCAAACCGAAAGGGGCGGGACCCUCCUUGAGGGAGCGUAGACAGGUAUUGCAUGGCUGUCGUCAGCUCGUGCCGUGAGGUGUCGGGUUAAGUCCCUUAACGAGCGCAACCCCUAUCCUUAGUUACCAGCGGGUAAAGCCGGGGACUCUAGCGGGACUGCCGGUGUAAACCGCGAGGAAGGUGGGGAUGACGUCAAAUCAGCACGGCCCUUACGCCCAGGGGCUACACACGUGUUACAAUGGCCUGUACAGAGGGCAGCUACCUGGCAACAGGAUGCGAAUCUCGAAAGCAGGUCUCAGUUCAGAUCGAAGUCUGCAACCGACUUCG